rnacentral:rRNA from 1 species
AACGCGAAGAACCUUACCUGGGCUAGACAACGGCGGACCGCCUGAGAAAUCAGGCUUUCCCUUCGGGGACUGCCGGUUCAGGUGCUGCAUGGCUGUCGUCAGCUCGUGUGGUGACAUGUUGGGUUAAGUCCCGCAACGAGCGCAACCCUUGUCUUUAGUUGCCAUCAUUCAGUUGGGCUCUCUAAAGAGACUGCCGUGGUUAACACGGAGGAAGGUGGGGAUGACGUCAAGUCCUCAUGGCCUUUAUAUCCAGGGCGACACACGUGAUACAAUGGACGGUACAGAGGGACGCCAAGAGGCAACUCGGAGCUAAUCUCAAAAAGCCGUUCUCAGUUCGGAUUGGAGUCUGCAACUCGACUCCAUGAAGUUGGAAUCGCUAGUAAUCGCGGAUCAGCACGCCGCGGUGAAUACGUUCCCGGGCCUUGUACACACCGAGUAUA